GACGAACGCUGGCGGCGUGCCUAAUACAUGCAAGUCGAGCGCAGGAAACUGACGGAACUCUUCGGAGGGAAGGCAGUGGAAUGAGCGGCGGACGGGUGAGUAACACGUAAGGAACCUGCCUCAAGGAUUGGGAUAACUCCGAGAAAUCGGAGCUAAUACCGGAUAGUUCAUCGGACCGCAUGGUCCGUUGAUGAAAGGCGCUUCGGCGUCACCUUGAGAUGGCCUUGCGGUGCAUUAGCUAGUUGGUGGGGUAACGGCCCACCAAGGCGACGAUGCAUAGACCAGCUGAGAGGGUGAUCGGCCACACUGGGACUGAGACACGGCCCAGACUCCUACGGGAGGCAGCAGUAGGGAAUCUUCGACAAUGGACGAAAGUCUGAUGGAGCAACGCCGCGUGAGUGAUGAAGGUUUUCGGAUCGUAAAACUCUGUUGUAAGGGAAGAACACGUACGAGAGGGAAUGCUCGUACCUUGACGGUACCUUACGAGAAAGCCACGGCUAACUACGUGCCAGCAGCCGCAGUAA
rnacentral:rRNA from 1 species